CCCAUGUCUGGAGGAGGAGUGGUCACAUGGCAGGCUUUCCUCUACUAUAUGAGCCCUGCAUUUCUGAAUGCCUUGAAAGAAAAACCAGCAAGUUGGGAGGGCCGUGUCUCCUUAUCAUCUUCCAGGAAUUCAAAACCGUGAUUUCCAGUUUCCAAAUGCAACUCAAGCUCCAUCACCCUGUACAUCUUGCACGGUUUCUCCAGCAUAUCCUGAUCGCCACCUCCAGACCCUUCUGAUAGAUUCAUUACCUGAAUCUAUUUGAUCCUGAACUCCUGCUCUCCCUUGGCUCAACCUCAUCACAGCCAGAAAGGAUGAGAGCUCUUUAAUGAAGUGCAUACAUGUCAGUUUCCCAGGACACAAACCAAAGUAAAGAAGAAUGGAGCAUGCUCCUAUAAAGGAAAAUAAAAGGAGAUCCAUAAAGCAAAUCCAACUCAUGGACACUUACUAAACAUGCACUGUGUUCAUGUAAUGGCUCCAAGAAUCUUAGUGGACAUGGACGGAAGUACACACCUGGAGUGGACCUACAGAAGCUCAGAGUCAAAUGGCAGAAAGAUGAUAUGGGCAUUGAAUACAUUAAAUGAAAAUAAAAGUAAUAAAUCACAAGAGAAGAGAGUAACUGAGGGUGUCACUGGGCAGUACAUUAGCAAUUAAUUACCAGACACCUAUGCAGUUAAAAUGUACUGCUGGCCUUCAAAGGUGAAGGAAUCCAUGGCCUGGAAUGACCAUAAAAAAUUUAUUUUAACAAAAAGACAUGACUGUAGCCUUUUAGGGUAAAGAGAUUUUAACAUUUGAAGAGCAGAGAGACAGGUACAGCAUUGCAGGCUAGGAAAUGUGGGAGUUCAAAAUGGCAGACCAGGAGGAAGGCAAGUUGUGUUUGGGAAAAUUGACUUUAUGGUUAUUAGAAAGACCAUGUAAGCAAGCAGAGAUCAAUUGUGCUAGAAAUGUUUUUCAAAUUGAGCAUCUGGUGUGUGUUAGGCACUGCUCUCGGCACUGGGGAUACAGCUGUGAACAUGAUCAACAAGGACCCUGCAAUCAUGGAGAUUAAAUUAUAGUGAGGCAAACAGAAUAUAAAUAAAUAUACACAUUAGGUGAAAGCCAGACAGCUUCGGGUCUUAUGGAGAGAGUUACUGUUGGAGCAUGUACUAGAGAAUGACUAAAUGGUAACUAUAUGGGAUGGUCGAAGAUGACCUCAAUGAGGAAUCUCUACACUUAGAUAAGACCCAAAUAGCAAGAAUGGUUCUUGUUCUGUAUUAUAAUCAAGAGGAAGAGGAUUUCAGGCAGAGGGAAAAAUGGGAUCCAUGGGCUAAAACAGGUACUUGAAUGAUGUUUUUGAGGAAAUAAAUGAAGAUCAGGGUGGCUAGAGCAUUGUGAUGAAGGUUUACACCAGGUGCUGGCUGGUUUUUAUUCCUAGUGAGAGACAAUUGUUGCAUUUUCAGGGAUUUUGUAAGGCAAUUCAUAUAACGUUGGUAGCUUAUAAUUGACUAUGGUAGGAAUAUUCAUACCUGAGAAAUCGGCAAACACUGUGAAUCAGGACUCCCUCUUUGUCCCCAACCCUCAACUCCCAUUCAGAGAGCCUGUUUUUGAGUAUUUUCUUGCAUACCACAGAGUGAGUAUAAGAAGCAGCUGGAAUAGUAACUAGGAACCAAUCAUCUUAGGCUUUAUAAGGCAGAGAAAGGAAUUUUAAUUUUAGGUGUGUUGGGAAGCCAUUAGUGGGUCUUAUGUAGGAAAUGAAUAUGGUCUGAUUUACAUAUGUAAAGGAUAAUUCUGAGUAUGUUAUGGAACACUUUGUAAAUAGGUAAAAAGAGAAAUAGGAAAAUCAGCUAUUGCAUUAGACUCAGUUAGAAGUGGCAGUGGUUUUGCUAGGGGUUAUAUAAAAGGAAGAAAACUUAAUAAUGUUAGGCCUGACUAUAGGUAGAAUCUAUAGUUUUUACUCAUGAAUUGGAUGUAAGAAUUGAGGAGAAACGAAGAACCAAGUAAAAAUUUUGAGCUUUGGCUUGGGAAACUAGGUAUAUGGUAACGCCAAAAAGAGAGAUGUAGAGAAUUGAUGUAGGAGCAAAGCUGGGCUGGGAAAUUGAGAAAAUUAUACCUGCCUUGUUAAAGUUGAAACACCCACAUGACACUCACCUGGAAGGAUAUUCACACUUGGAUUGUUGGGGAAUAAUAAGAACUAGAGAUACAGUUUGAGGGUCACUGGCAUAGAGAUAGUAAUUAAAACCAGGAUGUCAGUUAUAUCACCUAGGGAUAAUGCAAAGAGAGAGAAAAGCAGGAGAUAAGACAGAUCGAGCAGUGGGAGAAGCCGGCAUUGAAGAAUGAAGAGGAAAACCAGGCGUGUCUAGUGCCAUGAUGCCAAGAGAAAAACCCAGCUCCGAGAAGACAGGAGUUUGUUUGCUAAUGUUAUUGAGGGAUAAAGUAAAAUACGAAGAGAGAAGUAACUUGGACUGGCGGCAAAGCGAUCACCAGUGCUCCUUCUAACUGUGGUGUCGAUAAAGUAAUGUGGACUGGAUGAAGGAGCCUCGUUGGAAUAAACUCAUAUAGGAAUGAUGAUACCGUGUUUACCUACUAAUGGGAAUGACCCUAUUGAAGAGGGAACAUCACGUAUGUUGGGGAGCGGAAAAGUCAAAGUCCUCGAAAAGGAAGCACUUUGGAAACCAAUGGCUGAAAAGUUUGCUUUCUGUGAGAAGUGUAAAUCAAAGUCAUGUUUCUGUUUCCAGCAGUAGAGGAAAGAGAGAUAAACCUGAUGGACACAAGCAGGGCCCUGGAUCCACUUUAAAGGGACAUCCAUGGAAACCAAAGAGAUAAGACUGUGCCUCGUCAAUAAAAACCCCACAUCUCUGGGACUCUGCCACCUGGGGCAUUGUUGCCCUGAAGGAAGAAGCUGAAGGGGAGAUUUAGUUCAUUUGAUUAUCAGCCAGAGAGGAGCCAUCCUUCAAGGCCUCCCAGUCUCUGGCUGCAGCAGUAACUGUAACACUUUCAGCAAGUCUGUACCUAGGCCUUGAUCUGUGUGUAACUUUGGAGGUAGUUGAGCCGUUAUUUGAAAGAAUAUUAUUUUGAGCAAAGGAAGGAGCAGUAAGAGCUUUGGCUCUCCAAUGGGGAAAAAUGUAUUCAUCCUUUCAAACCUCUCAGUUAGACUUAGGCAAAAUGCCCAAUCUGCAGAAAACAAUUGGAGAUCCCUCUGAGGUCCUACUUGGUGGAUCUUCUCUCUUAGAAGUGAAUAGACACAGGAGCACAGGGGUCUUAUGCAAUAGAUAAAAGUUCCUGCCUCUGGACACACAGCUCAACCUCCAGUCUCUGAUAGAGGGAGGACCUAUGCCUUUCCAUGUGUG
rnacentral:lncRNA from 1 species